UAGUAUGGACGUCCCCUCUAUGGAGAUGUUUUCGGCUUUGUGCAACAAGAACAGCCCAAUUAUGAGGUAAAGGAACAUAGUAUAUUAGAACCUUUUUCAUACAUGCUCCCCUCUUUGUAACGGCGAGCAUUUUAUCAUGAUUUUGUCUCCAUGUAAUUCAUACCGACUGAUUUUCAGGAAGAACCAGUUGAUAAGACUAAGCACUGGGGUGACUUGGAGGAGGAGGAGGAGGAGGAAGAGGAAGAGGAAGAAGAAGAAGAGGAGGAGGAGGAACAGAUGGCAGAAGAGGAACUUGAAGAUGGCAUUCAGUCUGUUGACAGCCUUUCAAGCACUCCUACUGGCGUUGAAACCCCUGAUGUUAUUGAUCUUCGAAAGCAGCAGAGGAAGGAACCUGAUAGGCCUCUCUACCAAGUAAUUAUUUUUCUUUUUUCCUUACAUUGUUACACCUUAUUUUGAAGGUUUCUAGAUGAAAAAUCUUUCCAUUUCAGGUAGCUUCUUUGCUUGAUUAUGUAUUUCUUUCUACAUUUUAUGCCUGCUGGAUUAUAGAUUCAUUUCAGGUUCAAGAGAUUCUGCCUGAAGUAUAAAGGUUACAAGUCUAUUGGUGCUAGAAACAUUGUAUGAUAGAUUUUUGUUUUAGCUAUAAGGUUGUUGGUAUUUUCAAUUUUGAAUCGGAAUAUGCAAUGAUGAUGUAUACUUGAUAUUUGGUUCAUUUGUAUAAUAAUGUAUGAAUUUCUUGGAUGAUAUAUAAUAUUGUUAUCGUUGAUUUUA